AUGGGGAACAGAUGAGGUCAGCUCUAAUAAACUGACAUUUGUUUUAUAAAAGAGGACUUCAUAUUAUAACAAUUUUUGGCCUGAUUUUGUUUUUCUUUGGUAAAUUCUCAAGGAACCUAUUCCAAUCCAAACUGUCGUACCUGAUACUCUGGAGAUUAAAGAGAGUGUUGAUGAAGCUAAAACAGAUGCCAAUGAAGACUGUGAAUUGGUUACAGACCUGGAAAUUACAUCUGAACACAAGCCUGAUGCUGUCACACCUGGUGGUAAGAGACAUCUUCCUGCUGCAUCAAGUGAAUCUAUUGAUUUGGACGGAUUACAUGAUGGGGAACUGUCAUCAAACAAGCUGAAGAAGAUAAUUAAA